ensembl:snRNA U1 U1 spliceosomal RNA
AUAGUUCAGUGUACUGGGGGACACUGUGGUCAGGAAGGGGGUUUUCCCAGGGUGAUGCUCAUCCUCCACACCCCGUGGUGUGCCAUACCCUGCAGUUUCUCCAAAUGCAGGAAACUUACGUGCAUAUUUUGUAGUAAUUGCAGUUUGUGUUCAUACUCUUCCC